CACCGCCUGGGGAGUACGACCGCAAGGUUAAAACUCAAAUGAAUUGACGGGGACCCGCACAAGUAGUGGAGCAUGUGGUUUAAUUCGAAGAUACGCGCAGAACCUUACCAACACUUGACAUGUUCGUCGCGACUUUAAGAGAUUAAAGUUUUCGGUUCGGCCGGACGAAACACAGGUGCUGCAUGGCUGUCGUCAGCUCGUGUCGUGAGAUGUUGGGUUAAGUCCCGCAACGAGCGCAACCCUCACUUUUAGUUGCCAUCAUUUAGUUGGGCACUCUGAAAGAACUGCCAGUGAUAAGCUGGAGGAAGGUGGGGAUGACGUCAAGUCCUCAUGGCCCUUACGUGUUGGGCUACACACGUGCUACAAUGGCAUUUACAAUAGGAGGCAAGAUGGCGACAUCAAGCAAAUCCUAAAAAGAUGCCUCAGUUCGGAUUGUACUCUGCAACUCGAGUACAUGAAGCUGGAAUUACUAGUAAUCGCGGAUCAGCGCGCCGCGGUGAAUACGUUCCCGGGUCUUGUACACACCGCCCGUCACACCAUGGGAGUUGGUUCUACCUUAAGGCAAGGUUUAAAACCCUUGACCACGGUAUAGUCAGCGACUGGGGUGAAGUCGUAACAAGGUAGCCGUAGGGGAACCUGCGGCUGGAUUACCUCCUUUCUAAGGAUGAUUAAGAAAUAUUUCUUAAUCUAAAAAAUAUAACAGGCUAAUGUUGACCGUCCUCAUUUCUCUUCUUAAAGUUUGUGUUUCACUCUUCUGCGAAAAGGGCCGGUAGCUCAGUUGGUUAGAGCACACCCUUGAUAAGGGUGGGGUCGAAAGUUCGAGUCUUUCUCGGCCCACCAUUAUAUACUGGGGGAUUAGCUCAGCUGGGAGAGCGCCUGAUUUGCAUUCAGGAGGUCAGCGGUUCGAUCCCGCUAUCCUCCACCAGAAACACUUAGUUAUUAAAAUUUGUAAAUAUAAUUAUUAUUAUCAAUAUCUAUAUCCGAUUGUUCGAAGAUAAGAACAAUCAACCAAUAUUCGAAUAGAUGAAUAUUGAAUAAAAAAUUUAAUUCUACACAGAAUUUUUUUCUG
rnacentral:sRNA from 1 species